CCUACGGGUGGCAGCAGUGAGGAAUAUUGGUCAAUGGACGAGAGUCUGAACCAGCCAAGUAGCGUGAAGGAUGACUGCCCUAUGGGUUGUAAACUUCUUUUAUAUGGGAAUAAAAUGUUCCACGUGUGGGAUUUUGUAUGUACCAUAUGAAUAAGGAUCGGCUAACUCCGUGCCAGCAGCCGCGGUAAUACGGAGGAUCCGAGCGUUAUCCGGAUUUAUUGGGUUUAAAGGGAGCGUAGGUGGAUUGUUAAGUCAGUUGUGAAAGUUUGCGGCUCAACCAUAAAAUUGCAGUUGAAACUGGCAGUCUUGAGUACAGUAGAGGUGGGCGGAAUUCGUGGUGUAGCGGUGAAAUGCUUAGAUAUCACGAAGAACUCCGAUUGCGAAGGCAGUUCACUGGACUGCAACUGACACUGAGGCUCGAAAGUGUGGGUAUCAAACAGGAUUAGAUACCCGUGUAGUC
rnacentral:rRNA from 1 species